AAGAGCAAAUGUGUUCUCUGUGAGGAGGAGCCCAAUGAAUAUCUUCAACAUAUUUUCUUCAACUGUGAUUUCAGUCAAAAAAUUUGGAUGAAUUUGGGAUUGGAAUGGAACACUGACCUGAAUAUCAAUGACAUGAUGAUGGAAGCCAAAAAUAGAAUCAACAUGGUAGGAUUCAAGGAAUGCAUAAUGGCAGGAUGUUGGAGCAUCUGGAAACACAGAAAUGCCAUCAUUUUUUACAACAAAACCAAAGACACUGCAUAUUGCAUAUCAUGCUUCAAGGAGCACAUCAGCACCAUCAUCAAGAAGACAAAACCUAGUCUAAAAGAGGGAAUGCAAGCUUGGCUAGACACUUUUUAA
rnacentral:rRNA from 1 species